CGCUGGCGGCGUGGCUAAAACAUGCAAGUCGCACGAGAAACCCCGGGCAACUGGGGCGGUACAGUGGCGAAAGGGCGAGGAACACAUGGGUAACGUACCUGGAGCACAGGGAUAGCUCGGGGAAACCUGAGGUAAUACCUGAUAAGACCACAGUCCCGCAUGGGACAGCGGUCAAUAGGCGGGGAUCCUUCGGGACCUGUCGGCUUCAGAGCGGCCCAUGUCCUAUCAGCUAGUUGGCGGGGUAACGGCCCACCAAGGCUACAACGGGUACCGGGACUGAGAGGUUGGCCCGGCGCAUUGGCACUGAGACACUGGCCAGACUCCUACGGGAGGCUGCAGUAACGAAUAUUGGGCAAUGGGCGAAAGCCUGACCCAGCGACGCCGCGUGCGGGAUGAAGCUCUUCGGAGUGUAAACCGCUGUCAGGGGUUACCAAGCAAGGAGAGGCAAUACCUCUUCGAGUUGAGGAGCCCCAGAGGAAGCCACGGCUAACUUCGUGCCAGCCGCCGC
rnacentral:rRNA from 1 species